UGUCUACAUUCAAUCUUUAGUCCAGUCUUUAAAGAUUAUUUCCCCAGUUGCCACGUCAACAGAUGUCUCACGGAAUAUGAAAACUUCAAAAAGAAUGGAAAUAGACACUACGAAGGGCCACAUUUUCAGACAAGAGGAAAAAGUUGCCGAAAAUCAGAUAUACCGCUUUCUCCAGCUACAAACUGAAUCGUCAUCAAUGCUGCAAAUUAUUCACGAAUCACACGCUUCUGAUAUAUAAUCUCUGACACUAAUGCUGACUACACAUCCUGUUGGCUCAACUGACAAGACGUUUUAAUUUACGAUUAUGACUUGAAAGUCUUUGACCUUGGCGGAUCUAUGGUAUAUUGGAAAAUAUAUGGAAAAGAGUUCAGAAUU
ensembl:ncRNA K08C7.10 ncRNA